ACACACGAAAAUUAAAACGACAUGAAAUACAAGUUUCGGUGCCUAUAAAUAAAGUCGCCUUGGAAAGAGGCCAGGCCCGCUCAUUUGCAUGUUAUCUGUGGCUGCUCUGGGGAAACAACAGCGAAGUUGAGUCCUCUUGUCAGCGGUUAUGUGGCCCACAGAAGUCUGAACUCUUGACUGGCCGGCCUGUUGGAGGAAAUGCUUGACCAUUCCUGCCACGGAGUUUAAGGGAAAGGACCUGUCUCCUCAGCCAACAGGCCUUUUCCCUGCCGAAGGAACAAGGGCAGGGGCGUGGCACUGCCUACAAACCAGGCUUCACAGUUACAAGCCUUCCAAUGGCUAUUCCUGGUUGUCAACUUGACUAUAUCUGGAAUGAACUACAAUCUAGAAUUGGAAGGCUCACCUAUGAUUCUAAUCUGGAGGCUCACAGAGAUAAGUUUCUGACUUGGAUCUUGGCGUGGAGAUCUUGAAGCAUAGUGGCUAUGAAUUCCAGAAGAUUAAGACAAGGAGAUCUCUGAGUUCAAGAUCAUCUGGGAUUAAAGGCAUGGAGGCACACGCCUUUAAUUUGGGCCACACUCUCUGCUGGAGACCUACAGCCUUUAAUCUGGGCUACACCCUCUGCUGGAGAUCUAUUUAAGGACAUUGGGAGAAGGAAGAUUUACUCACUCUUCCUUGCCUGCUUGCCUCGUGGGACUGAGCAACUGCUAGAUCCUUGGACUUCCAUCCACAGCUGCUGUUGACCGUUGUUGGGGAGUUGGACUAUAGACUGCUGAGAUACCUGCUCAUAGUGUGAUGCUGUGCAAACUCAAGGUGAUUCUUCUAUCAACAGUUGUCCUAGCUUGCUGUUAUCAUGGUGAAACUCUGACCAUAGCCAGCUUGGGAUGGAAAGGCAUUGUUUGGCUUACAGGUUACAGCCCAUCACUGAUGGAAGCCAGGGCAGGAAGUCAAGGCCAAGGACUUGAAAAAGAAACCAAUGGAUGAAUGCUACUUACUGCCCAGCUACCUUUUUUAUACACCCAGGAAUACCUGCCCAGGAGUAGUUCUGCUAACAGUGUUCUAGGCUUUUCUGUCAUCAAUAAUCAUUCAGGAAUCACCAUCAGGACCAAUCUGAUGGAGGCAUUUCCUCAAUUGAGGCUGAUCAGAGUUCAUCACAAGCAAACAACCAGAAGAGGAAGUUGACACCAUCUCCAUGGAUACUCAGGAAGCAGGGAGAACAAACUGGAAGUAGGGUGAGGCUACAAACUCUCCAAUCCACUGCCCUUGACAAACUUCCAUCAGGAAGGGUCUCUCCCCAAUUAGGGAUCAAAGAUUUAAAAACCUGAGCUUACGGGGGACAUAUCUCAUUCAAAUGACCACAUAACCCAAUUUUUUUGUUACCCCUGGAAGCAUGAAACAUCCUAAGAGUGCUUGUGCACUCUGAAAAGGCACGUGCUCAGACAACUGGCCUUAAGGCAUCAACUCAACCUUGUUUUUCCCAACAUUAUAAAAAUUUAUAUUACUGUCCAAUCAUUUUUUUCCUAUUGCGAUAUUGGCGCACACUUGGAGAAACUCGGCAAUCUGGUUUCCAUCAUGACCUCAGCCAGAGAACUCAAUAAACUUGACUCAGGCUCUCUGUUUACCUCAUUCACUGUCGUCCCCCUUCAUUGAAAUUCCACUUGGUUCAAUGAUCUCUAGGUUUUCCCCCUACUUUGCCUGCCGGUAUUGUCCAUCCAUCAAGGUCCAUGACCCUCCACUAGGGGCAGUUCAUUUCCACAGUCCCUUUUUUGGGAUUCACAGUUCAUAUUUGCAUAUAAAAAGGCAGUCACCAGCCUGACCAAAAAAUAGCUUCCAUUGUCUGCUCUUCAAAUGAGUCUAAAUAGAAUCUUAGCCAUUUGGAGCUGAAAGAGCCCUGUGAGAUCCCCUAGCCAUUCUUCUAACUUUAUAAAUAAGAGAACAGAACUAAGGGAUUCUGUGACUUGAUGGGAAAAAGAGCACAACUAGAUUUUCUGAGUCCAGUACAGAGGCCAGAGGAGGCGGUCAGUGUUUGGAGCAUCCUUCAGGCUCAAGGUAUGUAAGAUGGAACCACAGUAGAUAGUAAAUGUAUUGCCGUCUCGAGGAAUGAGAUCAGAGAUCCCUCCCACAGAUGCUGUCUUGGUGGGGAUGGACUACUCAGAAGUGAGAAAGAUUUUAAGGAAGUGGCAUCUGGAGAGACCUCUCCAUUCGCUGGGCAGGAGGCCUGGGAGGCCAAUCUAAUUCCCAUUCUUCCAUUAAACAGCUGCAAGCUCCUAACAGCCCUGUGCCCCAUCCGGCAAAUGACAGACAGAACAAUUGCCUUUAUAUCCCCUUAGAGCACACUUGGAGAUUCUGUGGUUUAAGUCUUUUCUUCAAAAGUAUUCUGUCUUCAUCUUUAGCAUCUCUUCUCUUUGGCAUUUAUUGUUUGAGACAACCUAUGUAGCCUCAAAUUCAAGAUCCUCCUGCCUCAGCUUUCUAAGUACUGGAAUCUGAGGUAUACAGCACCCACCUUGCUACCUUCCCUCUUAUUUUAAACACACAAAGUACCAGCCCCUACUCAGGAGCCCCUUGAUCCAUGAGCAUCCAGGUCUUGCAUGAGAGGGUGGGGGAUGUCUUCUUUGUCCUGAGUGUUAAGUCUCCUCGAGAUUCUUAAAUAUAAACAUUUUAAAGAACUAAUAAGCUAGAGAAGGCCUCAUGGUGUAACCUAGUAAUCUCUGCUACUUGAGAGGCUGAAGCAAGAGGACUGGAAAUUCAAGGCCUGCCUGAUCUCUGAAGCACAGUAAAAAACAGCUCAGGAGGAGACGCGCCUGGCUGAGGAUGUGCUCUUGAACUGCUUGCUUCUGGCCUCCGAGAACAGAAAUAUUCCUUUCGGCCUGGCCCAUAAAGGUCCAGAGUCAUACUGUCUUGACCUGAUGGUCUUUGGUGACGGCGCUUGUCUAGCACUGAUAGCAGAUUAUUUCAUUACUCAAAGCUCUGUUGCCCUGCCUGGGGAACACAGAGAGAUGGUUCAGCAGGUGAAGGCUACCCACCAAGCCUGAGUCCUGAGUUUGAUAUCGAGCAUCCACAUGACUAAAGAGGAGAACUGAUCCCCGUACCUUGUCCUCUAAGCUGCAUAUGUGUUCUGAGAAAUGGGUGUGCUCAGGCAGGUACUCACACACCUAAUGCUAAAUAAAUGGUAUUUUUAAACUUUAUUAACACGUUACUCUGUCAAAUAAUCCCUUUAACAGAUUAAAGGGAUGGAGGUAAAUUCGGGCUAUAGCAAGGCCCUUUGCAUCCCUGGGACGCGGUCCUGUCCCUCGCUCAGCUUGAAGAUAGAAACACGAGCCAGCAUGCGUGGGAUUAAUGAUAAACUGCUUCGUCAUCAAUGCUAAAUCCGUCGAUUCAGUUUUUGGUUUCCUGUCUGUACAAAGCCAUGUGUGGUAGCACAGGCCUGUUCCACCAGCUCUGGAAAGAAUGAGUGGGAAGAUAACUACAGUUCAAGACCAAUCUGAAUGCAUGACAGGAUCUUAUGAAACCCAGGCUGUACUCGGGCUCCCUACAUAGCUAAGGACGUCCUUGAACCUCUGAGUCGUCGUCUUCUCCUACCACAGCAGUGAGAGGAUGACGGGAGUGGCGAGGUUCUAUGCAAUGCUGAAGGAUUGAACCCAAGACCUUGUUCAUGUCAUGUCCCACUCGGUGUUGCAAAGCAGUUUCAUCACAGUGGGAGCCUCCAUCUAUGGCAUGAGGGACACGCAGAAGGAGGAAUCCACAGAGUUCCUACAAGAUAGGAAAGAAGGAAAACAUUCCUUCCCUGAGCCCCUGACAUCUAGGCCACGGCUGGGUGCAUAGGGAGACGGAUUCUGUCAUGCUUUCUCUUGUCUGUGAGCAAACUGAGGGUGUCAGGGUCUUUUCAGAGCUCACCCCAGAGGACAGGGCGGCAUGGAAAACUCAGAACAGAGGAGCAGGUCCUACCCCAUCAGAGAGAAGAAAGGUGACAGCACUGUGCCUGCAACCUGAAAACAAACGGAGCCGAGCUGCAAUAGGACCCACCCUGGUGACCAGAUGGCUCCUCUUCCGUCUGUACUUCCCCAGGUGGCUCUGUAAGCUCAGAAGUACCAGCAGGGAAAUACCUCAUGGCUGGCAAGUCACCGACCUGGCCCUGGCCAUCUGACUGUGUACAACAAGACUGUAAGAGCGUGUAUGUUUGUUUCUCUGGACAUCCAAAAAGCUCAGCUGGCCAUUUUCCUUUGCUUAAUUCCCUCCUUUGGCCACCAGGACAGCGAGAAAUCUGAAAACCUGUGGUCAGCACAAGACAAAACAGAAGGGAAAGAAGCCAAGGCAAGAUGUUUUCCCUCCCGGCAAGUCGCCUGGGGAGAGCGGCCUCUACUUUCACAUAUGCUGGAGGUGUGGUGUCCAAAGAAAACCUUUUGAACUGGUUUUCUGGAAUCUCCAAAAAGACCCUGCACAUCAAAGGGACCCUCGAUCCCUCCCUCACUGUGCGUAGCAGGCAUUGUUAAGCAUUUUUUUGCAUGAAUCAACCACCUUCUGAAAAGAAAGGAAACACAAAGCACAUGGCCAGGCCGUGGCCACAGCGGCAGCCCCAAGCACGUGCGGCACACAUGGCCUUGGCGGGCUCAGGAGAGUCAAAUGCCGCUGCAGCUCCAAGGACCUUUCUCUCCGGUCUGCCAGGCCAGGAUACAAUGGAGUCGAUUGUUGGAGAUAUCCCGUACCCCUCCUAUAGACCUACCUCUUAGGAGUCUGUGCAAACUCUGACUCCAGUCACGAGAGGAUUCCUGCUGGGCCACCUAAAAGAAAAAACAAAAAAAAAGUCAGGUUGAGAUGCAGUCUGGGCCGAACAGAGAGGCCUGUGUGAGCCAUUGGCACUGGGCCCGGAGAGCCACAGUCCUGAGCAUGCUACAGUGCUGCUGGCUUCUGCAGAGGAUUCCGGAUCCUGGAGAGAUGAAGAGGUGGAUUCCAUUCGUGGCUUCAGACUUUUGUCAUCUACCUUCAUGGAUUUGUCUGGUCCCCUAAAGGUGGCUACAGUGAUGCGCAGAAUAUACCUUACCCUGCUGAAGGCCACUGAUGUCCCCUUGGAGCCUAGAUACUGAGGAGAUUGUCUUUUCCUGGCCAAUAUGGAGGGAGGUAUCUCUGGGCCCUUACUGAAGAUCCACCCACUCUGCAGCUGUGAGGGUGGCAGGACGGAAUCAGAGGGCAGAGUAGGAGGGACCUGAGCCAUUUGUCCCUGUCUGGCUCUCACUAAUGACCUCCCCAAAGGAGGAAAGAAAAAAAAUGGCCCUGAGAUUUUCCUAGAGACAAAUGGAAGCAUUUUAAAGGGAGAUGCUUUUUUUUAAAAGAAGCCACCCUCUCUGAUAGCAAAGUUCUAGGUUCAGGAAAAAGGAAAGGGGGUUAAAACCUAUGACUACAACUCAAUCGGUAAGUUUUAAUUAGCAGUUCAAAACUGCCCACAUUCUGGCUUUCUAAUUAAUAGGCCCGAUUUCUGUUGAGUCCUACUUCAGCGGGAGCUAUAUAAAACCAGUGAGCGGGUGACAUCAUUCCAUUCAAAAAGAGAGAGAGAGAGAGAGAGAGAGAGAGAGAGAGAGAGAGAGAGAGAGAGAGAGAGAGAGAGAGAAGGAAAGAGAGGAAUGCUGAAUUAGGAACAGAAAACACAAAUGAUCCAUCUCUCUUCUGUAUCUGUAUAAAUAAGCUCGUUACCCACAUCUUCUCCUAGAGCUUGUCAAUCUAUGACCAAUCAACACCCGGAGCCAAUUUGAUACCAAAAGUCCCUGAACCAUAGGCCAAACAGUAUGGAUCCCAGUCAGAUACCCACAAAUACUGAGGGAUGAAGAAAAGAGGAUAUUGGGGGUAGAGACAUAGAGCCAUAAGCAUUGGCAAAGCCCUAAGUCACCUCCCGCGCCCCCCCCCCCGCCCCCGCACCCCCGAGGGAUACGCAGUUAUCUAUCUCUGUCCUUGAAAAUGAGGAGAAGGCCCCAAAGGGCUUCAAUCAAAAAGAGAUCAGGAAAAAAACAAAACAAAACAAAACAAAAAAAAAAAGCCAGACUUUUUUUUUCCACUUCUCUUGUGGAGAGAAAGCAUUUCUGGAAGCUUUAGAAACAGAGUGGAAGACACCAGAGUAACACGGUUGUGGUUUAGUGGGCACGGGACUGCAGAGCACACAGGAAGCAAGCUGUUCAUCCUGGAGACUCAGGAACCAACGAUGGAUGUAGAGGUGAAGAAAGAAGGCCUAGGAGCUGCUGGUUCCGAUGAUAACGUAAGCCUUAAAGAAGAAGUAUUCCAUGGAUUUGCAGUGUCAUGUGGAGCCACCCAGUGUGUGUCCUAAUGUCCAAGACCUCAGGCAGGGCCUGGAAAGGCAAGUUCUACUACACUGAGGUUUGCACGGGUCCCCCCACCCCGCGACCCUGCCAGAGUCUCAUGUGUACACGCAUGUGCACACUUACAUACCCAUACCCCCCAGCAACAUUAGGACCCUGAUCCCCUCUUAUCAGAACAUUUCCAUGUUUGAAAAAAACCUGAUGCUAACUCAGAAGACGCUGCAGAAAGCAGCUCAUGAGUAGAAGGUGGAGUAAGGCCAUGAUAAAGCAGAUUCCAGUGACGGCAUAUCAGCCCUGUGACUGGAACGUUUUAAACAGCAAAACUGCCUAACAAAAGCACACACACACACACACAAUAAAAGGACACGGCACUAAAUAGAUUACAAAAAGAAUUCCCAUUUUUGGGAAGAGAAUUAAGAGUGUCGCUUUGUUCCUCUUAAGCUGAGAACAUGCUUGUCCAGUAGCUCAAAUUGUCCUGAGCUCUGUGCAUGUCCACACACGAAUGUGAAGGCCCUGGCGGUGUUGAUCCACGGGCUAUAAAUAAAAGUUAAGAAACAGCAAACCCAUAAGUACAUAGUCUGUAAAUAUAGGUGUGGAUGUAGGCCGAGGUGCAAGUCUCUCCUGUAACACAGUAGCUUCUUUAAAGAAUCCAGAGCAAACUAAGUGUGAUGCUCCUGUCACUCCAGCCCUCCAGAGGUGGAGACAGGAGGAUCAGCAUUUCAAGGUCAUCCUUAGCUACAUAAUGAGUCUGAGGUCAGCCUGGGCUACAUAGCAGCUUGUUGAGGAAAGAAGAAGAAGAAAAGAGGAGGAGGAAGAAGAGGAAGAGGAGGAGGGAAGGAAAGAAAGAAAGGAAAAGAAUAAAAAAAUCCAAACCGAA